AGUUUGAUCAUGGCUACAGAACGAACGCUGGCGGCAGGCCUAACACAUGCAAGUCGAGCGAACCCUUCGGGGUUAGCGGCGGACGGGUUAGUAACGCGUGGGAAUAUACCCUUUGGUACGGAAUAGCCUCGGGAAACUGAGAGUAAUACCGUAUGUGCCCUUCGGGGGAAAGAUUUAUCGCCAAAGGAUUAGCCCGCGUUGGAUUAGGUAGUUGGUGGGGUAAUGGCCUACCAAGCCUACGAUCCAUAGCUGGUUUGAGAGGAUGAUUAGCAACACUGGGACUGAGACACGGCCCAGACUCCUACGGGAGGCAGCAGUGGGGAAUCUUAGACAAUGGGCGCAAGCCUGAUCUAGCCAUGCCGCGUGGACGAUGAAGGCCUUAGGGUUGUAAAGUCCUUUCAGAUGGGAAGAUAAUGACGGUACCAUCAGAAGAAGCCCCGGCUAACUCCGUG
rnacentral:rRNA from 1 species